AAAUAUUACACUUCGCUAGCCAGCAGGAGUGGAGUCUUCGCCCUUCGGUGCGAUUCAGCUACUGAGACAGUGAGACCUCUGAGUCUGCCAGCUUGUUCUGCCCGACAUUGGAAAGGCGUUGUGCCUGUUCCAUCUUCUCUUGUAGCGAUAAGUCUUCUCCAAGCAACAUUCUCAGUGCAGAAGCCAUUGUUGGGCGCUGCUGCGGGUCAUAUAGAGUGCACAACAGGCAUACUUGUAUACAUCUCACCGCUUCUUCUGCCGAAAAAUAUCCUCCAAGGUAUUCGUCUACCAUCGCUAAUACAUUUCUAUUUAUUUCCCACAGCUCCCAAGCCUGGACAUUCAUCAUAUCAUAAUGCAUUCACGGUCAUAAACUGGCAAAAUGCACUCUGACACCGCUGUACUGUGUAUAUACUCAUGGAAUUUGUCUAUUUGCACACUUGAGUUCUGCUCUUUUAUUUCAUGUAUGUAUAGUAUGAUAAUAUGUGAAUUAAAGGCAGCAAGUAGGACAAAUUUUGAAAAGUUAUGAAUGCUUCAUCAGUGGUUCGACUUGGUAUGUUCUAUAGUAACUGAAAAGACUGCUCUCGUUCAUCUAUUUGUAUAAAAUCAAUCCUUACUAUCCAUUAUGAACUUGCAUUGCAUACACAUUAUAUAUACAUAGAAUAUCACAAAAGUUAGUUAUGCUUACACUGCCAAUGAGAUUCUCCCUUUCUCUAUUAUAUCUCUUGCCACUCAAUAUCUCCAAGACUAAUACACCAAAACUGUAGACACCUGACUUUUCUGACACUUGAUCUCUGCUAUAAAAUUUUGGUGGAGGAUAAAAUCUGCACACAAAAAUCAAAGAAACAAAAUAUCAAUAUUCGGGGUUCAGAAAGACAAAGUUAGAGUGGAUAGGAAAGGAUGCAUAUAUAAAAAAAUACGCGGUCUCAAUAACACGGGUUGACACUUGUCUUUGGUCAUCUUCAAUAAUUUUGGCUAAGCCAAAGCCAAAGCCUGAUAUUUUAGGAUUCAUCUCAUCGUCCAGUAAUAUAUUGGUUGAGUUAAGAUUCCUGUGAAUCAUUUUCGGACUUGACUCUUGAUGAAGAUAGAUAACUCCUUUAGCAAUUCCAAUAAUGACUUUGAAGCGAUCUGACCAUCGGAACCUACGACGUCGUUCUUCUUCUAUGUGCAAAUGUUCCAUUACAUUCAAGAAACAGAAAAAAAUGUUAGAUACUAUAUUUAUCCAUCCAUUUGAAAUUGAAAAAAACUAGGGAAAGAGUCUAAAUCACCAACCAAAUAUAUAUCUAUCUAAACUUCCGUUCUCCAUGAACUCAUACAAAAGCAUACAUGUUUUGUCAUGAAUGCAAUAUCCAAGCAGUAUAAUGAUGUUCUGGUGAUGGAGAUUGGAAACUGAGAGAAUCUCAUUUUUGAACCAUGGGACAUGGUCUCGUGUAGAAGAAUAUCUCUUUACUGCGACUGACCUUCCUCUGGGUAAUACAGUCUAUACGAAGAUUCAAAUACGAAUUAGUUUGGAGAAGAAUCAACUCAUUUCCCAUCGUCAUAUCUAAAGGAAUAAAAAAGGGAAAUCAUCAGCCUUGAAGAGUCACCUUGUAGACUCGAGCUGAUCCACCUGUUCCAAUCUCAUGGGAAUAGGAGAAGAGAUUGGUAGCAGCCGCAAGCUUGCUAAAAUCAUACUUGGGUACUCUUAUGUCUGCCUCACCAAAUUCUGCAAAAUCGUUGCACACUUCUAUCUUACGCUUGGAGUAUACAGAUUGAUGAUUUAAUAAUGGGUUGAAGAAUUAGCAUAUUAUAGAAAGUGUUUGGAACAAGUUAAUACCUGAUGUUAAGCUAAUUUCUUUUCUCUUGGAUGGUUUUAACCUGUUCCACAGUGUAUCCAAUGCCCAAAAACGUCCCUUAUACGAUUUUGGUUCUCUCCAAUCUUCUUCUCCAUCUAGAAAGUGAUUUCGAUUAGUUUGUUCCAUAGGAGGAGGAAUAUCAACAUGUACGUCUGCAGCGGCUUCUGCUGAUAGUGCAGUGUUUGCAAAGAACAUCAUAUGUUCAUUUGUUGGACAGGCAUUAUUAUCAACAAGUGCUACGUGAUUUGGUUCAGCAGUCUUUCCACUCUCCUGAAGCUCAAGAGCAGACUCAAGUUGAACCACAAUUUGAGCCAUCGUUGGCCUUUGCUUUGGUUCGUUGUGCAAACAUCUUUCAGCAACCUCAACAAAUGCCUUCAGACUGUCUGGUAAGAUUUCAUCCAACAAACUCGAAGAUACAAUCUUAUUAACCUCCCCCUCCUUAAUCUUGUUUCGAGCCCAUAUGGUGAGAUAGAAAUCUUCCUCUCCAAACCUUUGACCUAGUGCUUUUCUCUCGCACAAUACUUCCAGCAACACAACACCAAAGGCAUAUACGUCGCUUUUCCUUGUCAACUUGCCAGUAUUUUGAUAAUAUGGGUCCAUGUACCCAGGGGUGCCCUUAACUCUUGUGCUAACAUGGCUCUGUAGCUUGAUUAGAUCUUCAUGCUUAGCUAACCCAAAAUCGGAGACCUUGGCUAUGAGAUUUUCAUCCAAGAGGAUGUUUGAAGCUUUAACAUCGCGAUGUAUGACUUUGUUGCCUGUGUGGAGAUAAUCUAAUCCUCGGGCGGUUCCUAUGCAGAUAUCUAGGCGUUGCUUCCAAGUGAGAGAACAUGAAACAUUGUCUUCCCUGGCAUAUUCAUGGAGGUGAUCAGCCAGUGUGCCACUGGGCAUGUACUCAUAAACAAGAAUCAUUUCCCUGUGAUAACUGCAGUAGCCUAUUAGAGAGACAAGAUUAAUAUGUCGGAGCUCACAUAGUGUUUCAAUCUCUGUCAAAAACUCAUGUUUCCCUUGUCUUGAGUUAGAUUUUAACCUCUUUACGGCAACAGUCUCUCGCCCAUUAUCAAUAGAUCCAAUGUAAACUUUACCAAAUCCUCCCCUUCCGAUGAGUAACCUUUCACUGAAGUUUUUGGUGGCUGAUUGAAUCUCAGCCAGAGAAAAACGUCGACAGAGUCGUUCAGCCUUUACUGAUGGUAUGUUUUCAUCCUCCGUAACGCUCCUUCCUUCAUAGAUUUCCCGCAGCUUAUAGACAAUUAUAUUCACCAGAGCAAGUAUAGCUAUUGCAAGAGUUGUAUUUGCAGUUCCUUGAGACAGAAUAGGCGUUAAGUUGUUGAUAAUCCGAGGGGCAGAAUCACUUUUCGGAGGGAAGACAUUCGGACUGGCAAGAUUGUUAUCAGUAUUGCUCAGUUUGAAUAUCUCAAAUCCCUUGAUGAGUUGAUGUGCACCAUCAAACUCAUCAUUAUACUGCAGGGAAAUCAAGAGCUCUCGUUUACCCUCCUCUUUUCGGCCUUUAACUGCCAUUACAUAGUCCCUGUACUCUAUGAUGCCAUAUUCAUCAUCCAGUUGUAUCGAAAUGUUAGCAUCCACUACUACUUGACCAAUAAGGACUUUGAGUCUCUCUCCAUGGAGACCUAGGUUGCAGAAAUGAAUCCUGACCAAGUACCUAAAGCCAACAUCCACCGGUGUAUUCCAGUGGUAUUGUCUAUAGACACAAGAGCUUUGUGGCCUACCACUUGGGCUCGAUGAUCUCUUCCUUUCAAGUAUGAAAGACGUAGAGAACUCCUUGGAGAAAGUGUUGACACCAAGAGCAGCAGCAGUUAGCGAAGCGCUGAAGUUAGCGAGCAGAGUAAAGGGCCCAGCUUCAACAUUGAACAAGUCGUUCAACCUUUCGAAGCCUUUAUAUGGUGCGGGAUUAAAGUGAAGGCGGAGAAUUUUCUCACCCGGGCUGACUCGAAAUGCAUAGGAGAAUUGAGAAGUAGAGAUUCUAGCUGUGUUGUGGGGAACUUGACGAGCAGAGGUGGAGCUAUGCCUGACAGUUGAGUCGGUUGAUGAACCCUUAAUCUGUAGCAGGGAUGAUCCUUUUGGUUGUAUGUCUCCGAUCCACUGUUUGCCGUUGAGAGCUGCAGACGUGGCAACCGAGCCACAACUAAUGGAAAGCUUGGAUGUGGUUGUAACUGGAUCAUUACUACUUGCUGCUGCUGCUACUGGAAAUGCACCAAGGUGAAAAAGAAGCAACAGAGCAAUGGAAAGUGAAAAGUGAUGCAUUAUUCUCUGUGUGAUCUUUGUGUAUCUGUGGAAUCUGAGCAACUUGUUGGAAUGAAUGAAGUGAAUAGUCAGAGAGAUGAAUUUCGAAGUCAAUGAGGAGUAGGUUGUUUAGUUAGAAGCAUCAGCAGCUGAUCUUGUAGACUUUGACUUACUCAUCUCAGCUAAAUAUCAAAUUCAAUGACGAGGAGUUUGCUGGGAAGCAGCAUAAGUCGCCUUCUAGACAUAGUCUUACUAGAGUCAACAUGAUCAACAAUUUCGUAGGAAAUUAAUUUUAUUUGUUGUCUAGGAUUUGUUUUUUUGUUAAUUUGGAGAAAUAUCAUAUCAUAAUAAAUGAGAUAGGUAGGUGUGAAAUUGAUAGCCCAAACAAUAAAUUGGCCACGGUAAUGUUCUGCAUAUAAGUAUUAUCUUUAUUGCAUAUUUAUUUCU